CAAAUACUUGAGCGCCAUUUAGAGAGGAGACGAACUCAAACUUGGACCUACGAUUGGCAACAACAAAAGGACAAAAAGAUGUGUUUUGAAAAAGUAGCUAUUUCCUCAGAACAUUCCACAGUGUGAAUAACUAUAUUUAGAGUUAUUCCAUUGGUCCCUAAGGGCCGAUUGCCCAGGCCUCAAGAAAAGCCAAGGCCGGAAGAUACUCGGCUAAACUGUGUGCAGCUCUAGUGCGACCCCUGGCAUUCACAUACCCCACCCUGUCCUGCUUCGGGGGCAGAGGGAGCGCGAGUCUUCCUCCUUCUACGUCUUCAGUGGGCUUGAGUUCUUGCUACCAUCACAUAUGCACGGGACAACACCCGUCACCAGCAGAUUGCUAGCUUUACUGAGAGAACCAUCCAGAGCUUCCAACUACAUGAAGGUCAAGCGUACAGCUUGUGUACACUGAACAGCACUGUGCAGCUGGGUUUUUCCAGAAGAAUUAAAAGUAUUUUUAGUGGUGCUGGUGAGAGUCGGAGGAGGAGGUUAUAAAGGUCACGAGAGAGGAGGAGCAGCGGGCUGGCGGAGCGCCCAAAACGGGAGAGGAGACUCGAGUGCUAGGCUAAGGCACCUCUGAUCUCAUUUUUCCUCGCCUGUCAAAGGAGAUAAAAAAAAAAAAAUGCCUAUUCUGCCCACCUCUAAGGGAGAAGGGAGUAAGAUAAUUGGUAAAACAUUGUUUUGGAAAAUAAGCAACACUACUUAUAGAAGUAGCAAAGUGUAAUUUAUGCUGUGCCCUAGACCAUUGACAGGGACCCAUAUUCAAGCUAUCCAGGUGCAAAAGCACAUUUUGGAAGUCACCAAGUUAGUGCCAAUAAAACCUAAGAACAGAAAAAUACCUAAAAGCACCUGUGUUUUGGAUAGAAAAGCUUAAGAUUCAGAACAAGAGUUGGACAGCCCAAGAAUAGAAGAGCCCUCUCACCCGUUAGAACGGUUGGGUAGCAGCUUCUGGUUAGGGAACAGAAACACAGAGGCUCCAAAUAAAACUUUUUCAGAAAUCA